rnacentral:rRNA from 1 species
UACGUAGGUGGCAAGCGUUAUCCGGAUUUACUGGGUGUAAAGGGAGCGUAGACGGCAGCGCAAGUCUGGAGUGAAAUGCCGGGGCCCAACCCCGGAACUGCUUUGGAAACUGUGCGGCUCGAGUGCGGGAGAGGUAGGCGGAAUUCCUAGUGUAGCGGUGAAAUGCGUAGAUAUUAGGAGGAACACCAGUGGCGAAGGCGGCUUACUGGACCGUAACUGACGUUGAGGCUCGAAAGCGUGGGGAGCAAACAGG